rnacentral:tRNA from 1 species
GUGACCGUGGUGGAACUGGUAUACACGCAGAGCUUAAGUCUCUGUUCCUAUUGUUGGUUGCGAGUUCGAGUCUCGCCGGUCACA